GGGCUAUUAUGUGUGCAAGAAGACCCGGCAGACAGACCAACCAUGUCAUCUGUGAUUUUCAUGUUGGCAAGUGAUAGUACCAUAACACUUCUUUGUCCAUCUGAACCAGCAUUUUUCGUUGGGCGUGCAAUUGCAAAGCCAACUGAACCUAUUUCAGAUGAUGGAGUCUUUUCGGUUAAUGAGGUCACAAUUUCAAAUUUCUCACCUCGCUAAUUUGAUUGUUGUACUAACAAUACUAGUUUAUCAAAAACCUUUCAUUUUUAUUUUCCAGUCUGAAUUAACAACUAUGAAUACUAAAGCCAUGAUUUUUAAGAACUUGAAGAUGAAACUAGAUAUACAUAUAUAUGAAUUUCAAAUUGAAUAUGAAGUUGGUGAUAAAUCAAUUUAAGAAAAUUAAUUUUUUACUCAAAUUUUUUAAUGUAUCGAAGCACCUAAGAAAGUUGAAAAUUAUAUGGAUUUAUACUUUCUAAAGCAUAUAUAAUUUAGCUACUCUUUGCGAUUUGCACAAGGAAACAAACAUAUAGCAGGGAAGAGUGUAAUUUUUAUACUCUUGUAAUGAUGAAGGAGUUGCAAUAAUUUAUUUCAUUAGUUUACACUUAAUCUGGAAUUCAACUCCAAUAAAAGGAUCCAAUUAACUUCCAAAGACUAGUCUUGCAUCUAGAAAUUAAGAGUUUGGAUACGUGUUACCUUGUGCAAAGUGUCGCUACUUUGUGCAAGUUUCUCAUAUGCUCAGUUUAGAUUAAUUUAAAUUAUAUGAAAAAUUAUAACUGUGUUUGACAAAAGUACAAAUUUAUAUGACUUAUGUUACCCCGACAACAAUAUAAUAUUUCAUUACUCGAACCUGACAUUGAAUCAAGAAAUAAAGGGUUACAUUUAGUAAUAUCAGUAACCAAGUCAAUGGAAUGCUUUCACUGUCCCUAACAUGGUCAUGUAGCCAACUGCCACAUUGAAUAUUAUUUUUUGUUCACUUCUGCCCCAUCCAUUCAUUGGGAGGCCCUAAACAAAAUACAGCAAGAAUAGUUCAACAUGCGUAAUUUAAUGUUUUUAGUCAUAUUGACAAAGAAUUGACUGACUUGUGUAGCUUCCUCGAACAUAAGCUGCUUUAUCAUCUUCAUCUUGGGAGAACGGGUCAACAAAAUACAGCCACCUUCGACAAUUGAACUUUUAAUUUGUAAGUGAAUUCCUUAAAGAAACAGGCAACGGAAAUUUCAAGAACAAUAUUGUUUCACUUCUUUUUUUCAGGUUUAACAUUUACAUACCUCGUUAUUCUCACCAUUUCCUUCGACCCUUAUUUCCAGCGUUAUUGGGCGAACAUCAUCGGCAACUACACCGCCAAUAGUGCCUACGAGCUUGACCUGGAUAGCAUCUUCAAGGAGAUCACCUCUAUAACAAAAUCCAAUUAUGGGUUUUACAGCAACAAGGUCGGCGAAGUCAACGCCAUGGCACUUUGCAGAGCAGAUGUUAAGCUAGAUGUUUGCUCUAGUUGUUUAUACGAAAAUAUCUAAUUAUUAUUAAAAAAAAAAGUUAACAAUUCAAGUCUAAUUAUUUUGAACUUGAAUUGACACAUGGAAUAGAUUUAAACUUAAAAUGACUCAAACAAAUCAUUUAAAAUUACUAAAGUCUAAAAAGAUCAAAACUCGAUCCAAAUUUAUAAUGACAAAUUUAGAAGGCUAAUACCUCAACCCUAAAUAAUUCAAAAUCCUAAUUAAUUCUAAUUGAAAUAAUCUAAAAUUUUUAAAAUUAGACUACGUGCAGGCUUGCUUAUUACAGUCAUUGAAUACAUGUCAUUUAUUGGUAACCAAGUCAAUGGAGUGCUUUCAUUGACCCGAACAUGGUCAUGUAACUAACUGCCACAUUGAAUAAUUAUUUAUCAUUUACUUCCGUUCCAUCGAUUCAUUGCGGACCCAGCUCUCCUUGUAGACCAAUUUACACAACAAAACUGCUUUAUCAUCUUCGUAUUGUUAGAACCAGUCAACAAAAUACAGCCACCUUCAACAAUUAAACGUUUAAUUUGUAAGUGAAUUCCCUAGAGAAAAUGGCAACGGAAAUUUCAAGAACAGUACUGUUUCACUUCUUGUUUUCAGGUUUAACAUUUACAUUCCUCGCUACUUUUGCCAUUUCCUUUGACCCUUAUUUCCUGCAUUCUUGUGCAAACAACAUCGGAAACUACACCGCCAAUAGUGCUUACGAGCGUGACCUCAAUACCAUCUUCAAACAGAUCACCUCUAUUACAAAAUCGAAUUAUGGAUUUUACAGCAAGAAAGUCGGCGAAGUCAGCGCCAUGGCACUUUGCAGAGCAGAUGUUAAGCUAGAUGUUUGCACUGGUUGUUUAAGUGAAACUAUAUCAAGGGUCAAGCUGGAUUGUCCUAACAACAAAGAAGCCAUCGGAUGGUCUGCGGAUUGCACGUUACGGUACUCGAACACAAACCUCUCCGAGAAGUUGGAAAUUAAUCCUCAAACCUGUCUAUAUAAUACAGGAUCUACGGUUGAUGAGUACUUCCAGCUCAGACUCGGAGAAUUGUUGAGUGACCUGCGUAAUAAAGCAGCAUCAGGGGGUGCUCUUCUUAAAUAUGCAGCAGGUAACUCGUCGCUCAGGGCUUCGGAAAGGUUAUACGCUCUAGUGCAGUGCACUCCUGAUUUGUCUGAGGGAGACUGCAAUCAUUGUCUUGAUAAGGCGGCAACCAACGGGAUUCUGCGGUGUUGCCUUAAGCAGAGGGGAUGCCGGGUUCUUAGUCCUAGCUGUAACUUGAGGUUCGAAACAUAUCCCUUUGUUGAAGCCGGAGUGGAGUUUCCACCACCCCCGUCACCCUCGGGCGAUCGGCAAAAAGAAGGUACGACAAUUUUCCUUCCACUGUCACUUCUUCCAACCACCUGUUAGCACAGCUUCACUUUGGAGGCACUAUAUUAGCCUAUCACUCUUGUUGAAUCGAGAAAAUCUGAUUCUGCCCUUAUAUAAUUAGAAGAGGAACCAAACAAAUCAAAAAGGACGCCAGUACUUGUUGCAAGUUUAUCAGUGAUAUUUGGGGUAGCUGUGGUUUCUAUCUCAGGUUUCUUAAUCUGGAAGAGGAGAAACAAUCAAGGUAUGCAGUGGCAAACAUUACAAAUUUGUUUUGUAUUGUUAUAUUGAUCACUUUCUUACUUUCUUCUUUUAUUAAUUUCAGAUACAGAGUACAGAGAAAUUCAAUUACUUGACUUGGUAGAGGGAAGAAUUGAUAUGUGAGAAUCAAGUUUGUAACGUUAGGUAUAAUUAAUAAAUGAAUUCUUUCGGGGAACACUAGCGGAUGGUAAACAACUGCAGUUAAAAGGCUAUCAAGAACCUCCGAUCAAAAGCUUGUUGAGUUCAAAAAUGAAAUCAUGUGCUUUUUUCCUUCUUUUUUUCCCUACUAAGCUACAAUUUUAGGUAUGGAAGCUCUUAUCUGAAUACAGCUAAUAGAUAAGUUCCUUACUCCGUCGAGUGUAAUUUUUGAGGUGCUUAAAUGCAUUUUGGGUUAUUGUACAUGCAAGAAAAUCUGCUACUCAGUCUAAUCAAAUCAUCUCUUAUUGUCAUGUUCGCAACCGAUACCGUAAAACUUUCUCGUGCAAUUAAACCAACAUCCUUUUUGGGCAUAUCAUUGCGGAAUCAAUCAAACACAUUUCAAAUGAUGAAUUUUUUUAUUAUUAUUAAAAAUUUUCACCUCGCUGAUUUGAUCACUAUUUUAAUUUUAAGAUUAUAUAUUUGAAUGUAAAAAUUAGUAUAAAGCCGAUAACUAAUCAAUUUAUGAAUAUUAUUUUUAAUGUGUGGAAGCACCUUAAUUAGUAAACAAAGUUCAAACUUGCAUCAAAUUAUACUCCCAAAAAUAUACAAAAUUUAGCUACCCUUUCUUCUUUCAAUCCGCUCUGCUGGACUUGUAUUAGGGAUGAGCAAAACUUGAUUUAAUUUGAAAAAAUAAAAAAAUUUCAAAUUUCGAAUUAAUCGAAUCGAGUUAUUCGAGUUAUUCAAUUUUUUUGAGUCAAGUUAAAUAAGUAGUUUGAGUUUCAAGUUCAAGUCGAGUUGAAUUUUAUAAUUCGAAUAACUAGAAUAAUUUAAUAACAUUUUGGUAUAACUGCUCCUUUAGUCCCCGUCAAGUUUAAAAAUGAGCAAAUCAGUCUCUCUCUUAACAAAAAUUACAAAAAUUUCAAAAUAAUUUUUAAAAUUCAAAACAUUUAUAAAAAUUUCAAACUUUAUAUUUUUUUAAAGAAUUGUAAAAAAAAUUUGUAAAAAAAUUCUAAAUAAUAUAUAAAGAAAGUUACAAUUUUGAAAUUUUCUAAAAUAAUAAUUUUAGGGACUUAAAUAAUUUAAUUAAUCAUUCAAGUUUAUCAUAGUAAAAUAUCUUUUCUUUUUUCUUUUUUUUCUUUAAAUUUUUUUAAAUAUAUACAGUUUCAAAUUUACGUGCUCAAACAUGAUAUUAGUUAUAUUGUAAUAAUAUUUUAAUUUGACAUGAUUAAUUUUUUAAUUUAGCUCGAACAAUUUCACUCGAUUUGACUCGACCUAAAUUUCAUUUCACGCGACUCGAUUUAAAAAAAUUCAAAUCAUAUUAAGAUGAUAAAAUAGGACUUCUCAACUUGAUUAACUCAAAAUUUUUUCACUUCAUUUGAUUGAACCUUCUUCCUUAUUUACGUCGCAAUUAGAAAACAUAUAGUAGCAAGGAAGAGUUCAAUUUUUAUACGAAAAAUAAAAUUUCAAAAAGUUACAUGUGCUUUUUUUAUAAAUAUACUCUAAAAAGGGUUAAUCUAAAUUAUAAAAUCUAAAAAUUUAUUUGAUAAUGGAUCCAAUAAUGAAUAAUUUCUCUACCACCGAAUUGAACAUUGCAUUUCAGUUUUAAAAUCUAUUCUAAUCAAAGAAACCAAAUUAACUUGACUUUGAAGAAAUCAAGCCAAGUCCUACACCAUAAAUAGGCAGUCUGAUAAUUGGGUAUAUAUGCACUAAAGAUAACCAAGAAAAAUGAGACACGUUCCUACCAUGUCCUUUCAAAAUGUCUUUAAAUUCUACCCGUAUAUUUUUCCACAACUUGCAUCGCCAUUUUAUGAGAGAUCCAUCAAUUACAGACAAAAACAUAAAGGAACCCAAAGGCCAAGUCUUAUAAACUUGUCGUUAUUAGCUGUACCAGAAAAAACAACCUUGUUUGUCUAAUACAAUUCCAACUUGCAUGUUUUGUAUCCUCAUAUUCUAAUUUCUGUAGAGGAUUUUUUAUGGAAAAAAGGAAUUUUAUAAGUGAAACGGAAUGCAACAAAAGACGAUGAAAAGGAAGAUUAGAAUAGAUAUUUCAUAACAUAGAUGAUAGCUUAUAAGGUGGAGAAAAAUUACUAAGUGUGGCUGUAGGUACAAGGGUAAUAAAGUUGCACAUUAAAUAGGAGUAAUAAGAGGCAUUUUUACUAAUAAAGAAUUUAGGUCUUGUAUAAUAGUGAAUAAUCCAUUUUAAAAAAAAAAUGGAAGAUGUAUUUAAUGUUACAAGAAAAGGUUAACAUGUAACAUUUAACUAUUGAUAGAAGUUCUUGUGCUUUAAGUUUCUUUGUUGAAGAUAUAUGGAUUGACUUAUUACACCAACCUAAGUUCUCCAAAAUUUCAAAAUGGUAAAGAUAAUCGAAGAAUCUUAUCAUAUUCUUGUCGAGUAAUAUUUUAUCAUGUCUUAUUGAUAAGAGUGUUCGAGUAUUUAUACAUGUUGUUACAAAAGCUAUUACAGCUCAUGAUAGGGCCCCACUAUUUUAACUUGACUCAACUGCCUCUAGUACUGAUACUUUCUAUCCCUAGUACUGACAUUCUUUGUAAGCUCCAGGUUUGUUGGGCACGUGUCUAUGGAGCACACGAUCCUUUCUGUUCCUGGGACUAACAUUCUAGGCGGGCUCCGUACCUACUGGACUCGUGCCUAGGUGGCCUACGGAGCACACGGCCCUUUCUGCGAGCUCCCUAAGUCCUCGCGAGUUGGAUCUGUGGCCUUGCGUUACAAGAUGGGUCCUUGGCUUUGCCUUGCGAGUUGAGUUCACGAGCUCGUUCUGCGAGCAGGGUGAGCUAACUCCCCUUGCUAUCCUCUCGUGGCUCGCUUCGCACCCAAUCUUUUGGUGGGACCUAUCCGGGUCACAGGUAGGUGACCCAGAUCCUAUCUAGGACUCAGGUUGAUGAUCACCAAUGUAUAACAAUUCUAAUGUUAUUUUCAUAACUAUUUUAAUUAAGUAGUAUAAUGUGAAACAUUUUUUGCAUAUCAUCUCUUAGAACAUGAGUUGUUUUUGUAAAAGAUUUGUUCUUAAAUAAGGUUGUUUUCAAAUAAGAAUUGUUCUAAUAUAUUCUGAUCAUGAAUUUUCUCAAUUAAUUAUUAUUGACAGGUUGUUCCUAACAAUAGGUGUUUUGAAUAUAAUUAUUCUUAAAUUUCAAUUAUUCUAAAUAAGAGUUGUUUUAAAUAUUAAUUAUUCUUAACAAGAGCUAUUCUCAAACAAUUACUAUUAUAGGCAUCAACAGUUGUGAACAUAAUAGUUAUUCUAGAGCAACGGUUGAUUUGAGUGGUGAUUAUUCUAAACAAAAGUUACUCUUCAGAUAAAAAUAUUUAAAAAGAAAACAAUAGAAGUGAUUAGAAUAUAUUUAUCUCGAAGUUGAAUUUAUGUGAAUCAAACCUACUCAAACCUUAAACAACUUAAACUCAAUAUGACUCCAAUGAGUAACUUAAAAAUACUAAAAUCUCAACGAAUAAACCUAAAAUGAUCCGAACCCAUAUUAAUGAAAUCCAAAAUUAAUCCUAAACAAAUAAUUUAAAAUUUUUAACUGGAAGCAACAGAACCUGACAGAUCUACCUCAAAGUAAAACUCAUUUCAAAGUGAGACAAAUUAGAUUAUUACUUGCAGUCUUGCAUACUACAGUCCUUAUAUAUAUAUGUCAGAUGUUUUAGGUAAUCUGUGACAAUGGAGUUCUUUCACUGUCUUGGACGUAGAUGUAGCCAACUGCCACAUUGAAUAGUAUUUCACUUCCAUCCUCAUCUGGACCCAAACUCGUCAUCUUUGUAGACUAAGGCUUAGUUUGGAUAGGCGGUGUGUUUACCUCCAGUGAGGUUAAAAACAGCGGUGGCGGUGAGAUUAGUUACUGUAGCAGUGAGAUUGGAUAUUGUAGCGGUGAGAUUAAAAACAAUGGUGGAGUGUGUGUUUGGAUUCAAACGCAGCUAUAGCGGUGAGAUAAGAAUAAAAAAUGACUAUUAAUGACAUCAGAUUAGAAUUGAUAUAUAAUAGAAGUUUUUAAAUUAUUUUACUUUUUUAAAAUUAUUAAAAUAUGUGAAUUUAUAAAUUAAAUUAAUAAAAUAUUAAAAUGUAUCUUCCAAUAUUUUAAUGAAUUAUAUAAUUAAUUUAAAUUAUUUAUUAGACAAAAUGAUAAUUAUUUUUAAUUUUUUAAAGUUAAAUAUUUUUUAUAACAAUGAUAAAUAUUAUUUUCAUAAAUAGUAACAUUAUACUUAGAUCAAAUUUUGAAGUAUCUAAAUAGAUGAUUUUUAAUUAAAAAAAUAUAAUAACAUAAGACAUAACAAGUUUCAUUAUUACUAGAAAUUUUUAAUUAUAAAUAAUUUAAAAUAAUAAAUAAUUUUUAAUUUUUAAUUAUAAAAAAUACUUAUUAAAUUUAAUAUGAAGAUUGUAUAUAUUAAAUUAAUAAUAUUAUUUGAAAUUCUUAAAUAGAAAAUUAGAUGUAAAAGGAUAAAAGAAAAAGUAAAAAGCAUGGAUGAAAAGGUACUUUCCAUCUUUCAAAUGGAGUUGCAAAUUCUCACUGCAUGUAGAACCUCCAGUGGCGCCACUGAUACUACAGCAUGAUGAGAAGACUCCAGUGCGGCAAUGGGUAAAAUCCAAACACCAAUAUCAGUGCGAUUGAUUUCAAAAAAAUGGUCUAAACGCACUGAAACGGGAGAUUUUUUGUAUCCAAAGAUAGCCUAAGGCUCCCUUUGGUUUGGCUUUUACAGCCAAUGAGGUGCAGUUGGGGAGAAAAAAUGGUGCCAAUCUCACUGCUAUGCUGUUUGGUUCAGCAAGUCAGUGCAGUGAGAUUGCAUCUCCACCACACUGCUCAGCUGAAAAUCAGCUGGUGAUUUCAGCAGCAAUGAAGGUGCAGUGAGCUAUUGGUACUUUAACUCUCCAAAAAUACCCUUACUUUAACUCUCCAUAUCUUCCCUCCUCCUACCAUGCUUCUCCUUCUUCAAUUUGUGCAACCAGUUCACUUCACAAAGCUACAGGUAAGUCAUUCAUCUGCUGCUGCAACUUCUGCUGCUGCAACUUCUGCCAUUUUCAACCAUGUUUGGUUGUGGUUGUGGUAGUGGACUUUUGUGGACUUUUCAACCAUUUUCAACUUCUGCCACUACCAAUCUUCUGCAACUUAUGCCAUUUCUCUGUAACAAAGGUGCACCGGAAACUUGAAGAAGAUGAUAGAUGGAUAGAACAAGAGAUAUAUAAUCGAUAUAAUAGAUGGACAGAACAAGAUGAUAGAUGGACAGUGUUAGAAUUGUGUGACCCAAAUUCUAAGAGAUUGCUUGCAAGUCAAGUUAAACAAAAAUAUAUUUUCUUUCUAGAAGAUUUAGUAUUUAUUAGUAUAAUAUAUUUAGCAUUUAUUAGUAUAGUUUAUUUGACUUACUAAUUUAGCCUAUAAAUAGGCUCUUUUACAAUCUUAGAAAUGAGACACACCCAUUAGAUUAGAACUCAUAACACAUUCAGAGAAUUUUGUGUUUACGUUUUCGGGUUCUUUGUUUUUCGGAUUUUCGAGUUUAGUUUUUAUCUCCAUCUUUUGUACUCUUCAUUCUUUUGCCAUUAUAGUAAAAUUAUCUUUGCCCGUGGUUUUUUAUCCUCUUUGGAGGGGUUUUUCCACGUUAAAUUUGUGUGUUCAUCUUCUCAAUUUCUUCUGUUAUUUGUACUUGUUUGUUGCUUAAUCGGGACGAUCCUAACAGACAGAAACCUGAAGAAGAUGAUAGAUGAAGAUGAUAGAGGUGUUAACUUUGCAAUACAACUACAACAUUUCUAUGAUGGGUUGGAUGGACAGAACAAGCGACAAUUUGAUUUUAUAGCUAGAGGGAGUAUUUGGUUAAAAAUAGGAAGAUAAAUAAUCGAUAUAUUGGAAAAUGUCAGCAAGAAUGAGCUUACAUGGGGCAUAAACCAAGAGAUAUAAAACGCUAACCUAGCAGAAUGUACACUCCAAAAGUAAACAUCUUAUAACCUGGAAUUAGGAACAUUAGAUUUUGUUGAGCCUAAUAAAGAUGAACCAGAGGAGGAAAGUAUGAAUAAUGCAGAACAAGAGAAAAACGAGCUAGCCUUUCAACUUGACUGGUGGUGUAAAAGUAAAGAAUAUCCAAAACAGGUAAUUCCAACCAUAACUAAAAUGGUUCCUUUUAUUAUUAAAACACCUAAAUUGGAAUUGAAACCACUGCUUGAACACUUGAAGUAUGAGAUGUUUGGGAGAAAAGAACACCUUGCCAGUAAUUACAUACAAGGAGUAUGUAAAAAUAACUUUUUCAAAAAAUAUUAAUAAAUAAUUUAAAUUAAUUAUAUAAUUUAUUAAAAUAUUAGAAGAUAUAUUUCAAUAUUUUAUUAAAUGAAUUUAUAAAUUCACAUAUUUUAAUAAUUAAAAAAAAGUAAAAUAAUUUUAAAAACUUCUAUUAUAUAUCAAUUCUAAUAUGAUGUCUUUAAUAGCAAUUUCUUAUCCUCAACUCACCGCUACAGUGCGUUUGAAUCUAAACACACACUCUACCAUUGUUUCUAAUUUCAUCGCUACAGCAUCCAAUCUCACCGCUACAGUAAUUAAUCUCACUGCCACCGCUGUUUUUAACCUCACCGGAGCUAAACACACCGCCCAUCCAAACUAAGCCUAAAUCAUAUACGCAAACAAUCCAAAAAUCUAUUGACUUGACUCAUAUUUUUUAUUAAGGAUCAGAUAAUCUUCUACGAUGGACCAAAACUUUAUCCCUUACUAAAAGCACCCAUAUCAUAAAUUUCAUAAUAUAGCUGAGCUCUCUCGUCUUAUGAUCCAAACAAGGAGGUAAAGCCAAAAAAAAAAAGAAAUGCAGAGCUCCACAGUUUUCAUAACCCUGUGGCUGUUAUUAAUAGUCUUUUCCGUGCUUAGCCCUGAAACUGAAGCUCAGCCGCCCACUUAUCGCUACCACGUUUGUCCUAACACCACCACUUUCCUCAUAAAUAGCACUUACCAAGCCAACCGUGAUACCCUCUUAACUUCUCUAUCGUCUAAUGGCAGCCGUGGUAAUGGUUUCUACAACACAACUUCAGGCAGAAACCCCGACACGGUUUACGGUCUUUUCCUCUGCCGUGGGGAUCUUUCUACCAGCGUUUGUCAAGCGUGUGUCACCUUCGCCUCUACAGACAUUUCCCGACGUUGUCCUGUUGAAAUAGCAGCGGUGGUUUGGUACGACGAGUGCCUCCUACGAUACUCGGACGAAAAUAUAUUUUCCGCCGUGGCUGAAGAACCUGCAAUUGUAUUGUUUAAUACUAAGAAUGCAACUGGGACAGAAAUCCCUUUCGACCAGCUAGUGGCUGCCACAGUUGUUAUGAACAUGAACGAUAUAACAACCCAAACGGAAAAUAAACCCGCAGGUUCUAAAAAAUUUGCGACAAGAGAGACCAAACUUUCAAGUUUUCAAACACUGUACACGCUCGCCCAGUGUACACCGGACUUAUCAGGCAGUGGUUGCAGUAGAUGUCUGCAAGGAGCACGAGAAAAUCUUCCAAAUGGAUGGCAAGGCGGAAGAGUGUUGAGUCCUAGCUGCAACGUCAGAUAUGAAACUUACCCCUUCUAUAAUCUAGCGGCUGUUUCACCUCAACCUCCUCCAGCACCAGGUUUAUCCUCACUGUUAAUUGAUAAAUUUGAUUCUUUCCUUUUUCCUUUUUUAUAGUUCAUGAAAAAAAGAAAACAAGAUUCACUACAUUCUCUUUUCUUUUUUCUUUUUGGUCGGUAAUUUGUAAAUUAAUAUAUAGGUAAAGAACAAGCCCCUGUUUUCAUGAGGAUUAGAAUGAACUGAAUUGAGAAUAUCUAAUUCUGCUCUUAUUUAAUUAGAAGAAGAGAAACAAAACAAAUCAAACCGGAUUCCAGUACUUGUUGCAAGUUUAUCAGCAAUUUUUGGGCUGGCUGUGGUUUUUAUCUCUGCUUUCUUCAUCUGGAGGAGGAGAAACAGUAGAGGUACACAUCGGAGUGAUCUUUCUGGCAAGUAUUAUAACUUCUUUUUAUAUUCUUAUGCUGAUCAUAUUAUGAUUUUAUUACAGACGAAGAAAACAGCCAAGAAGUUCAAUUACUUGGCUUGGUAAAUGAGCACUCAAGGGAAACUUUUAACGGAGAAAAUGGGGAGAGAUCUCAGGAGUUUCCUUCUAUACGGUUGGAUGUUUUACAUGCAGCUACAAAUCACUUUUUUGAUGAAAAUAAGCUGGGACAGGGUGGAUUUGGUCCUGUAUACAAAGUUAUUAUAUAACUUGAAACUUUUAUGUGAGUUGGCUUUAGAACUGAUGUAUGCGAAUUAAGUAUGUGAAUACUCCUGCAUUUGAAUUUUGAUAUGCUAUGUAAAUGAAUGAAUUCUUCCAGGGAACAUUAGCAGAUGGUAAAGAAAUUGCAGUUAAAAGGCUGUCAGAAACUUCCAGUCAAGGGCUUGUUGAAUUCAAGAAUGAAAUCAUGUUAAUUGCUAAACUACAACAUAGAAAUCUUGUGAGGCUCUUAGGAUGUUGCUUAGAGAAAAAUGAGAAGUUGCUUGUAUAUGAAUUCAUGCCCAACAAAAGCCUGGACGUUUUCCUAUUCGGUUUGAUUCUUGAACCUUUAACUAAUAAGAAAAAAAACAUGAAACAAUUAAUGAAAAUGUACUCAUUUGUUUAUUUUUUAUUCUUUUUUUCCACAUUUAUAUCAGAUUCGAAAUUAGCUGCUCAACUGGAUUGGCAGAAACGAUUCAACAUUAUUAAAGGAAUUGCUCGAGGUAUUUUAUAUCUACAUGAAGAUUCUCGUCUAAAAAUUAUACAUAGAGACCUUAAAGCAAGUAAUGUUCUACUCGAUCAUGAGAUGAAUCCAAAAAUUUCUGAUUUUGGUAUGGCAAGAAUUUUUGAAGAUAAAAACGAAGCAAAUACCAAUAGAGUCGUUGGAACAUAGUAAGUAUGCAUAUUUUCAUGACACAUUCCUUUACAGUGAGAGGCUUAUGGGAAUAUUUUUAUUUAAUUAUUUUCUUUGUUUAUAAAAUUUUCUAUGAUAUCAUCUAAUUUUAUUUUAAUAAAUUGUCUCUUUAUUUCUUAUGAAUUAAAAUAGUGGAUAUAUGGCACCAGAAUAUGCUAUGGAAGGACUCUUUUCUAUCAAAUCUGAUGUUUUCAGUUUUGGAGUCCUUUUGUUGGAGAUUAUUAGUGGACAAAAGAACAAUGGUUUUCAUCAUUUAGAGCAUGGUGAAAGCUUGUUGACUUUUGUAUGUUCUUUAUCCUCCCUUUUGUCCUCAAACUAUAGAUUAAAUGUUUUAACCAUUCUACGAAUAAUUUUAAGCUACAAUUGUAGGCAUGGAAAUUAUGGUCCAAGGGCGAAGGAAUGGAGCUAAUAGAUCAGGUCCUUGUUCCUUCAUGUGUGGCUUUUGAGGUGCUUAAAUGCAUUCAUAUCGGGCUAUUAUGUGUGCAAGAAGACCCGGCAGAUAGACCAACCAUGUCAUCUGUGAUUUUCAUGUUGGCAAGUGAUAGUACCAUAACACUUCUUUGUCCAUCUGAACCAGCAUUUUCCGUUGGGCGUGCAAUUACAAAACCAGCUGAACCUAUUUCAGAUGAUGGAGUCUUUUCGGUUAAUGAGGUCACAAUUUCAAAUUUCUCACCUCGCUAAUUUGAUUGUUGUACUAACAAUACUAGUUUAUCAAAAAACUUUCAUUUUUAUUUCCCAGUCUAAAUUAACAACUAUGAAUACUAAAGCCAUGAUUUGUAAGAACUUGAACCUGAAACUAUAUAUACAUAUAUUUGAAUUUUA
rnacentral:lncRNA from 1 species